rnacentral:lncRNA from 1 species
UAUCCUUUCAAAAAUCAUCUAAUUAGUAAGUAAUGGUUAAUCGUGUCAAUGUUUUAUUUGACGUGGACAAAAAUGAUUCACAUCAACAUUUCGUUUGAGAUAAGUGGCAAUUAUUUAAUUAAAAAAUGAAAUUUAUUUUCCACUUCAUCUUCUUCUUUCUCAAGCUAUGACUUUUCCUCAAAUCUCUACCACAAGCUUGUUCAUGUACAUUCACCCAGAUUGAUAUGCAUUCCCCUGCUUAACCAAAGACAUUGUUGGUGGUGACAACUAUAAUUGGAAGCCUUAGCUACCUAACAUAGACCUUGACUGUGUCAUCUAACAACACCCUCUCACUCCAUCAUCUUCUCUUCCCUAAACUCAACUAAAACCAAUAUUCUUUUCUAAAAACCUUUAACUUCUCCAACCCAAACGCGCUUCCCAAUUUUUUUUUUCU